AUCAAUUCUUACUCUAAAGUUUAAACCAGUGGUUUACAAACGUUGCUGGGCCCCCCCUUUGGGAACUGCACCCCCAAUCAAAGAAAAACCUAAAAAAACAGAACACACACAUAUUUUCUUUUCAGACUUGUUUGUUUCACACAUUUGAAAUGUAACUGUUUUUACGCACUUUAUGCUAGCAUUCCCAACUUUGGUCAGUUGGCAGGAAUGAGACUUGAGUGAUGACACCUUUCCAUUCUAGAAUUAGAUUUCCUGGUUGAAGACCACAAAUAUGUAAUUAGACAGACAGUUUGUGAAAAUGAACGUUGUCUUUAUUUAUCGUAAAAGUGCGACGUUAAUUUAAUCCGCUGCUCAUUGUCAGAUGGGGAAGCAGAGCGUUCUGGUGCACAAAGAGGACACUGACGAUGUCAUCACAACAAACCUUGUCUGAAUAUCUACAGCUGCCAUAAAUGUCCACUGUGGGCUCAGAAAAAUAGAGAGAAUGCUAAUGACGAUAAAUAUCGAAUGUUUUUUGUUUUUAAUGAGAAAGAAAAACCUGAAGCGAUAGUAAAAUAGAACAAGAGAGAGCUUGAAAGGAAAAAAAAAUAAACAAAGGAGAAACAGAAUAGCGGGUAGGAAAAUAAGGACCGGAAGAGAGAAAAUAUUUCAAUGAGAAAAGAAAGUGUUCAAAGCAACAAAUGAACAUUUGAAAACAAUGACAGAAAGAAAGGAGGUGAAGAAAAAGAAGCGUGAGAGUGAGACGUCGUACACAAAAAGGAAAAAAAAAAAAUGGAUUCAGAGAGGAAGAAGUAAGCAAAGAUACAGAGGAGCUAAAGAAGAAUGGACCGGAAAAGGAAUCACAAAAGACAGAAAGAAGAAAUUAAGAGUCAGAGUUAAAGAGAAAAAUUUAAAAAAAAAGAGUUAGGCUGAUCAUAUUUUUAAAAGGCGCAAGCAAUUAAACAUCCACCAUCAGAAUAAAAUGUCCAAGCAUCUGUACAUUUCAGAAAUAUUUUCCUCUUUUUAUUCCAAGAAAAAAAAAAGGUCUGUUUAUACCAAAAAUAAGAAAGAAAAAAAACCAACUUGUUAUUAAUAACAACCACAGUAAUAAUUAAUCAAUAAUUAAGGGGAUAAGUAUGACAAUUUCUUAUUUUUGAAUCUUUCUAAACAUGUUUAUUUGAACUUUUCUCCACAAUGAUAUCAGCUGUGGUCAAUUAAACAUGCAGCUAAUUGAGUCCCAUGAUGAUAAAGUUGUUAAGGAUGGAGAAAGAAGACA